CUGUAAUCCAUGGCUUCUGGUUAGGAUAUGUACGUGCGGUCACUGUGGGGAUGACGUCGUCAAUGCACUUAUUGAUGAAGCCAACGACUGAGAAAAAGCACAGUGAGUCGCUGCCCCUGUAUAAACAGGCUAUGAGAGUGUAUGAGGACAGUCUGGGAUGCUCACACCCACAGGUCAGAGAAACACUGAAGAACCUAGCUGUACUCAGCUAUGUGGAGGAAAGCAGCAGAGCUCAACAAUCCAUGGAGAUCAAAUAGGCGGAGCAGUCUCUGGUUUGUGGAAGGCCCAUGUCGACACUCGUCCAGUGGGGAUGGGCCUUUAGCCUGCGAGGGCCCACACCUCUCCCACAUGCCCGCAGGUGACCCCUCUCUAUUCCGCCCCUUCCAAGAACACAGGUGGUGGAUCUCAUUUUGCCUUUCAUUCAUCCUGUGUGUCCAUUUCCUCGUCUCCUUCUAGAAAUGCAUUGGUGGAGAAGGUCAGUGGGAGGGACCUUGCAUCUUCUCCUCGAAUGCAUUUUCAGGAGGUGGAAAGGAUAGAGGACAUGAAGAAUCAAGGAAGUACAAUUGAAGGCCAUCCAUGGUUCGCAAUCUGCUUUCCUGAGAAGAACAACGUCCAUCACACUGAAUAGUUUGUUAUGCUGCUUUGAGAUGGAACAGUGUAGUGGUGUCGCCUGUCAAGAGUACUGUAACUAACUUCUGAAAUAAAUUAUGUUUUAAUGUCUGUUCAAUGGCUAUAUUGUUAAGUGUUCAAAAAAUAAAUAUAUAUUAUAAAUGUAAUCAUGAUGUAACAUCUGCUUCCAGCUCACACUCUCAAACACAUAGAUACCCUGAAUGCAGCUCACUCUCCAGAUCCCAAUCACCGGAAUUCUGAUCACCUGUUCACACACCUGUAUGUCAUUAUCACACACUAUUUAGUUCAGUUCUUUGCACCCAAUCAUUGUAGGUAUUGUUUGUUUUGUGACACACUUCUAGCCGGAGCGCUGGUUUUCCUGUAAUAUACGCCUCCCCUGUACUUUCCUGUUAUCAACCUAUUGCCUGAUCUUCUGGAUGAUGUUAAUAGCUUUUUCCCUGCCUGUACUGUUGCCUUUUUGGACCCCCUGUGUUUGACCUGCUUGACCCUGGACUCAGCUACCUGCCUCCUCCUGUGGUCCUUUACAAUAAAUACCUGCUGCGCCCUGUGCUUGAAACCAGCUCUCUCUCUCUCCCAUCGUGUUUAUUACACAUUAAAUUACGUCAACACCAGGUUAUGAAGGUUUUUUAUUGCAUAUUCAAACGUUUCCAAAUUACCACUGCUCUGUCUUCUGUCAAAAUUAAAUUUCAAUUGUAUAAUGAUAAAUCAAUAUCACCAUCGACUGCAAGUCCUCUGGCUGAGUGUCUGCUAAAUUAC
ensembl:lncRNA